ensembl:lncRNA
ACAGAUAAAUAUGAAAAGAUUGUUGAGGCUUUAUUUUUGCUCAUACACCAGAAAUAAUAUUUUUUCAUGGAAUCAAGAAGCAUAUUUCUUAUCUCUUAAUUUCUUCCUCUCAGCAACAACAUCCCCAAAUGAUGCUGAUGUUGCCGCUGUUGCCAGCCGAAUUGAGGAGCUGGUGGCAAGUGUUAAGAGGAGGUCCCAGCGUCUUUACAAGGAUAGUGACGGAUGCAAAGGGACGUGCCCGAAUCCGCCGAAAGAUCAGGGAGGAAAAAUCUUAAAUUCUGUAGUGGAAAAAGUACAACACCUUGGUUCCUAAUGCAGAAAAACUGUCAUUGGACACCAUUCUAUCUGACGAGAUUGUUUGGCCAUGGCAGCUUACACACGGUGGUAUGUACACAAUUCCAUUGUCACAUAGUGGGACAAAAUCUGUCAUGCCUCGAUUUUACACCUGAAAAUCUCUAAAUACUAAUCUCAAAUACAACCGACUUAUGUUUCAUCUAUGUAUUCCAGACUCUGUUGAUCUAAGGACAAAGAGGAAGGCAUUCGACAUUGUGAUGGCAGUAAGGAGACUUGAGGAGGAGAAGAGGAUUCUUAUUGCAGAGAUGAACAAGCAUUGGAAGUCUCUUUGCUCCCGUGCAGACACCCUGAAGCAGAUGUCAUCCAAGCUUUCUAAUGUGACAUCAGGUGAGACUUGGGGCCUGCUUCAAGAUGGUAUCCGAGGUCUACAAAGCUUGACGAUGAAGAACAAGCGAGCAAGCAACAGCCUGGCAAAGCAUGCAAAGAAAUAUUAUGUUCAAGUUCUGACUGAAACAGAAAUUAACUUUGAUAGUGAUUCUGAGGAAUACCAUACCAGUAGUGACUCUGAGCAAGAUUAAACAUGGCCAGAGUCCUUUUUUUAUGCUGUUGUGUGCUGGGGAGGCAGCAUUAAAGAAGAGGGCCGCUGGGACAGGUUGUUAAGGAAAGCUGGCUCUGUGUUUGGCAUGGAGCUGGAGUUAAUUAUUUAACAAACUGAGGAUAAUUUGCAGUAGCAGUCUUCUGUCAUGCUCAACAUUGAGGAGGUCCUUUGUCCCCAGGGCAUACCAGCAACUCAAUGUCACAGAAAAGGUUAGGGGAGAAAUUGACUUUUCAGCAUGAGUCUCACCCUGCGCCAACCAUUACAUCGCUUUGUCUAUUGUCUAGUAUCCACUAUCCAUUUGACUGUCUUACAGGCUACAUUAGCCCCUCUACACAUUCUGAACUGUGGUUUCAACAUUUACCCCUGUUGGCUUGUAUAAUCUUUUUUCUUUUUUAUAUAUAUAUUUAAGUUUCUGUUUUUCUAUCUAUUUUAACUUCUUUGUAUUGUUUUUUUGUUAAGCAAUACUAUUAUGCUCAGACUCUUUUUUCCAUAGUCAUAUUAAACAUGCACAGCUUUGCACUGAUUAAAUCCCUGCACUGUUUACUUUUUGCACUACCACCACUGCAAAUCACUCUAUAGUUGCCCAUCAUGUAUCACAGGGUCAGUCCCUACCAGGCCUUUGUAAUCACUUGACAUGCUCUUCACUUUUUACAUUUGUGAUUUUUGUUAUGUGUCUGAGUUGUGUGUUGUUUUUGUGGUUGUAUAAGCUAAUAAAUGCCUAAAAUGUGGUGUGUCGUCUUAAGUAGCCUACUGUGUCUGUACUAGGGGGAAGAAGACAUUUCAUCAUGACAGUUUCCUCCAUCUCCUAGAGACAUCUUACAUGGAUACACAGAUAACAUUU